CACGUAGGGGGCAAGCGUUGUCCGGAUUUAUUGGGCGUAAAGAGCUCGUAGGCGGCUCGGUAAGUGGGGUGUUAAACCCCCAGGCUUAACCUGGGGACGCCACCCGAUACUGCCGUGGCUAGAGUCCGGUAGGGGAGCGUGGAAUUCCUGGUGUAGCGGUGAAAUGCGCAGAUAUCAGGAGGAACACCAGCGGCGAAGGCGGCGCUCUGGGCCGGAACUGACGCUGAGGAGCGAAAGCGUGGGUAGCAAACAGG
rnacentral:rRNA from 1 species